rnacentral:rRNA from 1 species
GACAGAGGGUGCAAACGUUGUUCGGAAUUACUGGGCGUAAAGGGCGCGUAGGCGGCCUGCUAAGUCGGACGUGAAAUCCCUCGGCUCAACCGAGGAACUGCGUCCGAUACUGGUGGGCUUGAAUCCGGGAGAGGGAUGUGGAAUUCCAGGUGUAGUGGUGAAAUGCGUAGAUAUCUGGAGGAACACCGGUGGCGAAGGCGGCAUCCUGGACCGGUAUUGACGCUGAGGCGCGAAAGCUAGGGGAGCAAACGGG